rnacentral:rRNA from 1 species
UGUGUGUUAGUGGAAGCGUCUGGAAAGGCGCGCGAUACAGGGUGACAGCCCCGUACACAAAAAUGCACAUAUUGUGAGCUCGAUGAGUAGGGCGGGACACGUGGUAUCCUGUCUGAAUAUGGGGGGACCAUCCUCCAAGGCUAAAUACUCCUGACUGACCGAUAGUGAACCAGUACCGUGAGGGAAAGGCGAAAAGAACCCCGGCGAGGGGAGUGAAAAAGAACCUGAAACCGUGUACGUACAAGCAGUGGGAGCACGCUUAGGCGUGUGACUGCGUACCUUUUGUAUAAUGGGUCAGCGACUUAUAUUCUGUAGCAAGGUUAACCGAAUAGGGGAGCCGAAGGGAAACCGAGUCUUAACUGGGCGUUAAGUUGCAGGGUAUAGACCCGAAACCCGGUGAUCUAGCCAUGGGCAGGUUGAAGGUUGGGUAACACUAACUGGAGGACCGAACCGACUAAUGUUGAAAAAUUAGCGGAUGACUUGUGGCUGGGGGUGAAAGGCCAAUCAAACCGGGAGAUAGCUGGUUCUCCCCGAAAGCUAUUUAGGUAGCGCCUCGUGAAUUCAUCUCCGGGGGUAGAGCACUGUUUCGGCAAGGGGGUCAUCCCGACUUACCAACCCGAUGCAAACUGCGAAUACCGGAGAAUGUUAUCACGGGAGACACACGGCGGGUGCUAACGUCCGUCGUGAAGAGGGAAACAACCCAGACCGCCAGCUAAGGUCCCAAAGUCAUGGUUAAGUGGGAAACGAUGUGGGAAGGCCCAGACAGCCAGGAUGUUGGCUUAGAAGCAGCCAUCAUUUAAAGAAAGCGUAAUAGCUCACUGGUCGAGUCGGCCUGCGCGGAAGAUGUAACGGGGCUAAACCAUGCAC